UUUAGCUGGAGACAGCUUCUAGAAUGACCAGCCCAGGAUCCAGUAGGACUUGCUGGAGCCACACAGAGGCCUUGCUAAACUAAAAUUAUGAAUUCGCAGGCUGUGCUACGAACCCAUUAGGCUAUGUUGCUUUAAACUCGGGUCAGCCAACCAAAAGGUGGAUGCAAAAGACUUUCUUUAAACAAGCCAGCAGCUUGAGGCUUGAAAUAGAACAGAAAGGGAAUUCACAGGACUCAACCUUGUCUUCUGUCUGGAGCUCUUGAGACCCAAGGAUACUGGCCAGGCGAACCACACUGCGAUAAGAAACAGCAGCUGAAAGUUUGUUUUUGGAGCCACCAGAUCCAGUGGGUGGACUGUGUCUUGAAAUAGAAGCAUCUCAAAGGCCUGUGAAUCAUUUCUUAGUGCCGGCCUGCAAGGUUUCAUAUCCUGUUCUCAGAGCUACCUUGGGUGCUGUAUGUAUAUCUGGAAGAAUUUUUCAAAUGGUUUUUGCGAGAAAGUUCAAACCCUGGAAUGACUAAGUCGCUGGAAGAAUUUGGACUUUGUGAGGGGAAUUUGCACUUGGUAUGAAUCACCCAGUCACUGAUUCCUGCAGUGAGAAGACCUUUCGGAAAGCUUCUGGGUCAGCCCCCUCGUACACAUGGGGAAACCGAGGCUCAAGGAGGGGAAGGACUUCAGCCAAGGUCCCACAGCAUGUCUGUGGAAAUGACAGGACUGGAAUCAGGUCUAGCUCCUGGAACAGCUUUGGAUUUGCAAGAAGCUCUCAAGCACCCAGUCUCCAUAGGUGGGCACAUUUUCCAAACAGUAGAGGAACAGAAAGAACAAGAGGGUUCUGAGGAGUUAGAACUCACCAUAGAGUUAUGGAAGGAAUGGGGAAGGGAUUGCCGGAAGGUAUUUUAUAUGAAAUAGCUCAUUUAAUCCUCCCCAGGAUCCUAUUAGGCAGUGGUUCUAAACUAGGGUUGAUUUUGCCCCCAGAGGACAUUUGGCAAGAUCAGGGGACAUUUUAGGUUUGUCACAGCUUGAGUGGGAGUUGCUACUGGCAUCUCUUGGCAGUGAAUACCCUAUGUGGUAGAGGCCAGGGAUACCGCUAAACAUCCUGCAAUGCACAGGACAGCCUCACAACAAAGAAUUAUCCAGCCCAAAAUGUCAAUAGUGUUGGGUCUGAGAAGCCCUGCUAUGCAGAGGGCGCUUGUAUAUACAUAUCAAUUUAACAGCCAAGAAAGCCGAGGCUCAGAAAGUGUAGCCACUCGCUAGCCACGUGGUCUUGGGCAAAUUAGCCUCUCUGUGUCUCAGUUUCCUUAUCUGUAAAAUGGAGGCAACAGUACCUCUGUUACCUAAAUAAACAUUUGUAAAGCACUUAGAAUGGUGCCUGGCACAUAGUGUUACAUGAAUGUUUGCUAAAAAUAUAUAAACAAGCUUACCCAGGAAACACGGAAAGUAAAAGAAUUGUAAUGAAAGCCCAGGUGAAAAAAAUCUAAAGAGACUUAAGGACAUGGGGGCUGGAAUAUGAGAGACCUCCUGGGGGUGUACAGCCCUGUGAGCAGGUAAGGCUGUCCACCGUGUGACAUCCUAUGUUCCCUGCCACCCCCCACCACCAGUAGCCAUGAGGUUUUCCUUCUCAGACACUGCUACCUUAAAUGCACUUCAUCUUUUUAGGUUAAAAUGAUAUGCACUUCAACAUGAAUCUCCUUGGCAAGUAUCUGACACAGUAAGCCACUAUCAGUCACUAAGAAUAAUUCAGGAUAAAUUAGUUUUUCAGUUGCCUCCCAACAAAUAGGCCGAAUGCAGGUUAUACUGAGAGUGGAAGGUAAACAGAGGCUGACAGCUUAGUGUUCAGAGGCAGGCUUAGGACAGUGCUGGCAGGUGCACAGUUGUCCUCAGCAAUCCUAGACCAUCAGUCAUUCCCCUACCAGCCAGCACCACCUAGAACAGGCCUCAAGUCUGGGCCCUGCCUAGCUUUGCACCCCCUUUCAGAACCUGCUCCUGACCCUCCCCCACCUUCAGCUCUCCUGGUCUUUUUACUCAGUCUGGGGCCUAUUCCCUACUUUCCCACUUUGACCUCUAAUCCUGUCCUCAGUCAGAGCCCAGAUUCCUCCACCAGCUGCUGAGACCUGCCAACUUGCUAAGUGAUUGCCCUACUCAAUGCUGAAGGCCUGACAUAUCAGCCCGGCUCUCUCAGCAAGCCCCAGGGCUGUGAAGGAAACUGGGCAGAGGGUGUCACAAGAGUGGAGGGAGAAAAAACCAAAGCAAGGGUCACCCAUAUCUCUACUCUGCCCAGAACCCGCCUGCUACGCCUAUUCAUUAGAACAUUCAUGGCCAUUUACCGAGCUCUUUAAGCUAUGAGUCUUGCACACUUACAACAGCUCUCACAGCUGUGCCCCACUCCCCCAUCCCUGGAGACCUACAAGGGCCCAUAUUAACUGUAUUACUUCUCUAUUGCUGCUAUAACAAAAUGACUACAAACUUAGUCACUUAAAACAACUUAAGUUUAUGCUCUCAAACCAACCUGAUCUCACUGGGCUAAAAUCAGGGUGUUUGCAGGGACUUCCCUUUCGGAGAAUCUGGAAGAUAAUUGAUUUCCUUGCCUUUUCCAGCUUCUGGAGGCUGCCAACAUUCCUUGGGUUGUGACCCCUUCCUUCAUUUUCAAAGCCAGCAACAUGGCAUCUCUCUGACCCUGUUUUCGUGGUUGCCUCUCUUUCUCUGACUCUUUUCUGCUGCCCUCUCCCACUUUUAAGGACCCUUCUGAUUCCAUUGGACCCACCUAGAUAAUCCUGCAUAGCAACCUUCAUUCCAUCUGCAAACUUAAUUCCCACUUGCCGUGUAACAGUACAUUCACAAAUUAUAGGGAUUAGGACACAGACAUCUUUGGAGGUGACUAUGAUCCUGCCUACCAUGUUAACCAACCCAGAGUGGCGGGGACCAUACAACCCAGAGAGCUUGUGCUCCUUCUCAAGGGAGCAACUGCUGCUCAGCUCCAGCUGUCAUCAUCAUGCAUCAGUAUGGGUUCAGUGUGGCUGAGUCUGCCAAUAUUUCAAGUGAAAUCAGAAAAUUGGACUUUCAGGUGAAGAUUUCCAAUUCUGACAUCACUGUGCAGACCAAAAAAGAACAAAAAAUCUCAUAGGCUAGAUAUAGCCUGAAGCCACCCAGGUGUGACCUCUGGGUCCACCUCUACCACAUCAGCUGUGUGAGAUGAUGAGAUUUCUCUGGCAUUUACAGGCUCUGCAGGUUCUGGGGGAUGGAGAACCAGUCAGGCCUAGAGGCCAGAGAGAAUGUGGUCAGGAGCAUAGCGGGUACUGAAGGGGGUGCCUCAGGGGAAAGUUCAGAGGGAGAAGGGACUGACCAUCUCCCUAAGGGACUAACCAUCACCUGCAGGAAGCAGCAGUGCCUCAAAGGGUACAGGAAAUCAGGCUGAGGCCGACCUGAAGAAAUCAACCAGAGUAAGGUGGGCUUUAUGGCUUGUGACCUCAGAACAAAUCAAGCACACUCUUUCUACUUUCAAAAAGUAUCAGUUCUUCCCCUCCCCACAAAAC
rnacentral:lncRNA from 10 species